UGCGUAAGAUCCGGCCCAGGGGAAAGAGAUGAAUGUUAAAUUCAAAGAUGGCGGCGGAGGGAGGAGGGAAGGAGAUGAACGAAAUUAAAACUCAGUUCACAACUCGGGAAGGUGUCUACAAGCUCCUCACUCACUCCGAAUACAGCCGUCCCAACAGGGUGCCUUUCAACUCACAGGGCUCCAACCCAGUCAAGGUCUCUUUCGUUAACGUCAACGAUCAGUCGGGAAACGGCGACAGGAUCUGUUUCAAUGUGGGCCGUGAGCUCUACUUCUACAUCUACAAAGGCGUUAGAAAGGCUGCUGACCUGAGCAAGCCCAUAGACAAGCGCAUCUACAAGGGAACGCAGCCUACCUGUCAUGACUUCAACCACCUCACAGCCACAGCAGAGAGUGUGUCCUUGCUGGUGGGUUUCUCAGCAGGACAGGUACAGCUUAUUGACCCCAUCAAGAAGGAGACAAGCAAGCUCUUCAAUGAAGAGAGACUAAUAGACAAGACCAGAGUAACAUGCGUGAAGUGGGUGCCAGGCUCUGAGAGCCUGUUUCUGGUCUCUCAUUCCAGUGGGAAUAUGUAUCUAUACAAUGUGGAGCAUACUUGUGGCACCACGGCACCACACUAUCAGGUGCUUAAACAGGGAGAGAACUACUCUGUACACACAUGUAAGAGUAAAUCCACGCGGAACCCUCUCCUUAAAUGGGCAGUGGGGGAGGGGGCUCUGAAUGAGUUUGCCUUCUCUCCGGAUGGGAAGUUCCUAGGCUGUGUUAGCCAAGACGGCUUCCUACGAGUCUUCAACUUUGAUGCGGUGGAGCUUCAUGGCACCAUGAAGAGCUACUUUGGUGGCUUGUUGUGUGUGUGCUGGAGCCCUGAUGGAAAGUACAUAGUUGCAGGCGGAGAGGACGAUUUAGUGACUGUGUGGUCGUUUUUGGACUGCAGAGUCAUCGCCCGAGGUCAUGGGCACAAGUCGUGGGUCAGUGUGGUGGCGUUUGACCAUUACACCACCAGCGUGGAAGAGAGUGACCCGAUGGAGUUCAGUGGCAGCGAUGAGGACUUCCAGGAUCAGAUGAUCCACUUCGGACGAGACCGGGCCAACAGUACGCAGUCUCGACUCUCCAAGCGCAACUCGACGGACAGCCGGCCUGUUAGCGUCACGUACCGGUUUGGCUCAGUGGGCCAGGACACUCAGCUGUGCCUAUGGGACCUCACUGAGGACAUCCUUUUCCCCCAUCUUCCACUCUCACGGACACGGACACACACUAACGUGAUGAAUGCUACCAGCCCCCCUGCGGGUGCUCCAAUAAUCGCUAACGCCUCUAGUAACACUACUAAUGGAAACAACAGUGGUGCCAAUACUCCUGGCAUUAACUCCCUCUCCACUACAUUACCACGCUCCAACAGCCUACCCCAUUCAGCCGGCACCACCACCACAACAACAACAACAACGACGACGACAAACAACACCAACAAAGCCAGCAGUGGUGGCGGCGGCAUCGGGAGUGGUAUAAUGGACAGUGCCAUUGCUACAGGUGUGAGUAAGUUUGCCACGCUGUCACUCCAUGAUCGGAAGGAACGCCACCACGAGAAGGACCACAAACGCAACCACAGCAUGGGCCACAUCAGCAGCAAGAGCAGCGACAAGCUCAACCUGCUCACAAAAACCAAAACAGACCCUGCUAAGACUCUGGGCACUCUGCUGUGCCCGCGCAUGGAGGAUGUGCCCCUCCUCGAGCCCCUCAUCUGUAAAAAGAUAGCACACGAGAGACUGACUGUACUCAUAUUUUUAGAGGACUGUUUAGUGACUGCUUGUCAGGAAGGAUUUAUUUGCACAUGGGCGAGGCCAGGCAAAGUGGGUUUAUUGUCAUCCCAAAACCAAGCCAGCUCUCCCAGUGGAACAGUAGUAUAGCCACAAUAUUUCUGCUGCUAAAGAACCCUGCAACCCAGUCUGAUGCUGCUCUUCACCCUGCAAGCAUUAUUUCAACAUCAGGCCUGUCCAAACAUUGUCCUCUCAACGAUGUGUUUGACAGUACUGAUCCGUCCUGUUUAAAGAGGCAAAUUUGAAUAAAACGUUGGAAGUGUUUUGGCUCUCAGCAGCCUCCAUGUUUCCUAUCCAGAGGUGGAAUGCAGUAGGUCUUGAAAGCAGCAUGAUGCGACUCAUCCCUGGGCUGUGGAGAAAGGAAAUGUAGCGUGAAUGCCAAAUAAAACUGAAAGAACUACCAAGAUGGGAUGGUUGGCAGUGUGCCUCUGUGGGUGACGGUAAACGCAGGCAGAGUGGAGACAGGGAAAGGCAUCUGUGGUCCUGGUACUACCAUGUUGAGCUUGGGCAGCUCUGCAGGGUAAUGAGGGAUGUUCCGUCGGAUGAGAGGCUCUGCUACAUGCUUCAUGUUGUGCUGGAGAGGGUGGAAGUAUCGCAUGAAAACAAAGCAGUUGUAUUCAUAUUUCUGACAACUUACUUUAGUUGAAAUCAAUCGACAAAUGCAUAAUUUUUCAUUAACUGGUCAAUUUUGGCUUUCCUCUUGGCUAUUUUGCUUACAUAACAUGGUCUUUAUUUUUAGAAAAGUAGAGAAGGAAACAUCCAAAUCCACAUUUUACUGUAUAUAUAUAUAUAUUUUUUUUAAUUACAGGUUUGCCAUUUGCUUUCAGAAUCAAUUGAAGAGUCUCUCCCUAAACUCUGACUUACGCUUAUUAAAGGGGUUUGCCUUGUGUGUCUUCCCCUCAGCUGUUUGCCAAGUCUGGUUGGACGCCAGAUGUGAUCUAAGGAGUUGUACGUCCCACCACUGUCUAGUUCAUCCAUAGUCCCAGAAACUCUGUGAAGCGUCUCGGCUUUCUUCUCUGCCAGCCUGGGGAAAACAUUGAGCAAGGGAGACUUCUAUUACAUUUAAAAGUAUUUUGUCUCCGAUUUGAAAUGUUCUCAUCUUAAGGUGAUGAAAUAAUUCUAAUUUGCAUGGUUUACCUGAUUUCCCUAAAGUAUGUGUGCCGCAGGGCUGUUUCUGCAGUGAUGCGUUCAUCAGAGUCAUAGGCGAGCAUCUGAUAGAGAAGUGACAGAGCUGGAGCCGGGCGGUGAGGGAGUAACCGUGAGAUACCGCUGCCUUUUUUAGGAGGGAAGUUGAAUUGCAUAGUUCGAGACCUGCCAGAAAUUAAGAAAGCAUGAUAAGCCUUUGUUUAUUAAGCAAAUCAAGGUGUGUAUCUGCACCUACUGUAACAAUGACACACACCCUUCAAAUGACAUAUUUAAAGAGGAACACCUACUGCUUUAACUUCUGGAGGAUACUUUCUUCCGGUGUCCCCAACACGUCAUGGAUCUUGGCAACCUGGUCCAACUCAUUGGUUCCAGGGAAGAGAGGAUUCAAGCUGAAACACGCAAGUACCUGACUGUCACAACCAAACUAUUUACAUAGCAUUUGUUUGAUAUUUGUUUAUGCUAGUGGCUGCAGACAAGCUCAAUCUAUUAGAAUGUGAAAAACUAAAGGCAGACAUUGAUAACAUUGUCAUGUAUAAUCUUAUGAGUGUUCCUAUUCUGUCUUUUUGACUCACAAACUGUUGUCCUAUUUAGGUAUUAGAAAAAUGCCCUUCCCCUGCAGUGAUACCUCAUGAUCUCAUAGAAGACACAACCAGCGCUCCACAUGUCCAUCUUCAAGCCGUAGUAGCCGUCAGUGAGGAGGCACUCUGGGGCUCUGUACCAGCGUGUGGAGAUGUACUCGGUGUGGGGGGGCUUGGAGUAAACACUGCGACACGAGCCAAAGUCGCCAAGCUUCAGACCAUUUUGCUGCAAUUGUACAAAGAUUUUUUUAUGAUAAAAACAUAGAAUACCUCUGCUAUGUUUAAGUAAAGCAAAUUGUUAUAAAACUGUAUCUUACUUUGA